AGAGUUUGAUCCUGGCUCAGAGUGAACGCUGGCGGCGUGCUUAACACAUGCAAGUCGAACGAGAACGGAUUAUAGUUUACUCGCUAAUACUCUAUAUGCCUUUAAGUCAAAAGACUGCAAGGGAAAUAUUUAUAGCUUUGGGAUUGGCCUGUACGGUAUCAGCUAGUUGGUGAGGUAAGAGCUCACCAAGGCAAUGACACCUAACUGGUUUGAGAGGAUGAUCAGUCACACUGGAACUGAGACACGGUCCAGACUCCUACGGGAGGCAGCAGUGGGGAAUAUUGCACAAUGGACGAAAGUCUGAUGCAGCAACGCCGCGUGGAGGAUGACACAUUUCGGUGCGUAAACUCCUUUUAUAUGGGAAGAUAAUGACGGUACCAUAUGAAUAAGCACCGGCUAACUCCGUGCCAGCAGCCGCGGUAAUACGGAGGGUGCAAGCGUUACUCGGAAUCACUGGGCGUAAAGCGCGCGCAGGCGGCCUUUUAAGUUGGAUGUGAAAGCCUACGGCUCAACCGUAGAACUGCAUCCAAAACUAUCAGGCUAGAGUGUGGGAGAGGAAGAUGGAAUUAGUUGUGUAGGGGUAAAAUCCGUAGAGAUAACUAGGAAUACCAAAAGCGAAGGCAAUCUUCUGGAACACUACUGACGCUGAGGCGCGAAAGCGUGGGGAGCAAACGGGAUUAGAUACCCCGGUAGUCCACGCAGUAAACGAUGAAUGUUAGUCGUCGGGUAGCUAGUCUAUUCGGUGAUGCAGCUAACGCAUUAAACAUUCCGCCUGGGGAGUACGGUCGCAAGAUUAAAACUCAAAGGAAUAGACGGGGACCCGCACAAGUGGUGGAGCAUGUGGUUUAAUUCGAAAAUACGCGAAGAACCUUACCUAGCCUUGACAUAUUUUAGAAUCCUCCAGAGAUGGAAGAGUGCCUUCGGGAGCUAAUUUACAGGUGCUGCACGGCUGUCGUCAGCUCGUGUCGUGAGAUGUUGGGUUAAGUCCCGCAACGAGCGCAACCCUCGUCACUAGUUGCUAACGGUGUCGGGGACUCUAGAGAGACUGCCAGUGUAAUAAUCUGGAGGAAGGUGGGGACGACGUCAAGUCAUCAUGGUCCUUAUGUCCAGGGCUACACACGUGCUACAAUGGCCGGUACAGAGGGAAGCAAUACCGCGAGGUGGAGCCAAUCUCAGAAAGCCGGUCUCAUUUCGGAUUGGAGUCUGCAACUCGACUCCAUGAAGUUGGAAUCGCUAGUAAUCGCGUAUCAGCAUAACGCGGUGAAUACGUUCCCGGGCCUUGUACACACCGCCCGUCAAGUCAGCCGAGUUGAUUGGACCCGAAGAAGGUGAGCUAACCGCAAGGAGGCAGCUUUCGAAGGUGUGAUUAGCAAGGGGGACUAAGUCGGAACAAGGUAGCC
rnacentral:rRNA from 1 species